rnacentral:rRNA from 1 species
GCGAGUCCUCUACUGACGCUAAAGCUCGAAGGUGCGGGUAUCGAACAGGAUUAGAUACCCUGGUAGUCCGCACGGUAAACGAUGGAUGCCCGCUGUCGGCGAUAUACUGUCGGCGGCCAAGCGAAAGCGUUAAGCAUCCCACCUGGGGAGUACGCCGGCAACGGUGAAACUCAAAGGAAUUGACGGGGGCCCGCACAAGCGGAGGAACAUGUGGUUUAAUUCGAUGAUACGCGAGGAACCUUACCCGGGCUUGAACUGCAGGAGAACGAUCCAGAGAUGGUGAGGCCCUUCGGGGCUCCUGUGGAGGUGCUGCAUGGUUGUCGUCAGCUCGUGCCGUGAGGUGUCGGCUUAAGUGCCAUAACGAGCGCAACCCCUGUCCCCGGUUGCCAUCAGGUAGUGCUGGGCACUCCGUGGAUACUGCCACCGUAAGGUGUGAGGAAGGUGGGGAUGACGUCAAAUCAGCACGGCCCUUACGUCCGGGGCUACACACGUGUUACAAUGGGUGGUACAGAGAGUCGGGGCUGCGCAAGCCGCCUCCAAUCUUGAAAGCCAUCCUCAGUUCGGAUUGGGGUCUGCAACCCGACCCCAUGAAGCUGGAUUC